rnacentral:rRNA from 1 species
UACGAAGGGGGCUAGCGUUGCUCGGAAUCACUGGGCGUAAAGGGUGCGUAGGCGGGUCUUUAAGUCAGGGGUGAAAUCCUGGAGCUCAACUCCAGAACUGCCUUUGAUACUGAAGAUCUUGAGUUCGGGAGAGGUGAGUGGAACUGCGAGUGUAGAGGUGAAAUUCGUAGAUAUUCGCAAGAACACCAGUGGCGAAGGCGGCUCGCCGGACCGAGACUGACGCUGAGGCACGAAAGCGGGGGGAGCAAACAGG